rnacentral:rRNA from 1 species
AGUGAACGCUGGCGGCGUGCUUAACACAUGCAAGUCGAACGAGAACGGGUUAUAGCUUGCUAUAAUUGUCAGCUAAGUGGCGCACGGGUGAGUAAUGUAUAGGUAAUAUGCCUCUUACUAAGGGAUAACAAAUGGAAACGUUUGCUAAUACCUUAUACUCCUUAUUAACAGAAGUUAAUAAGGGAAAGAUUUAUUGGUAAGAGAUUAGCCUGUAUUGUAUCAGUUAGUUGGUGGGGUAAUGGCUUACCAAGACUAUGACACAUAACUGGUUUGAGAGGAUGAUCAGUCACGCUGGGACUGAGACACGGUCCAGACUCCUACGGGAGGCAGCAGUGGGGAAUAUUGCACAAUGGACGAAAGUCUGAUGCAGCAACGCCGCGUGGAGGAUGACACAUUUCGGUGCGUAAACUCCUUUUAUAUGAGAAGAUAAUGACGGUAUUAUAUGAAUAAGCACCGGCUAACUCCGUGCCAGCCGCCGCCGUAA